rnacentral:tRNA from 1 species
GCCUGGGUGGCUCAGUCAGUUAAGCAUCUGACUUCGGCUCAGGUCAUGAUCUCACAAUUCACAGUCUGUGGGUUCGAGCCCUGCAUCAGGCU